rnacentral:rRNA from 1 species
UACGUAGGGUGCAAGCGUUGUCCGGAAUUAUUGGGCGUAAAGGGCUCGUAGGCGGUUUGUCGCGUCGGGAGUGAAAACUCAGGGCUUAACCCUGAGCCUGCUUCCGAUAUGGGCAGACUAGAGGUAUGCAGGGGAGAAUGGAAUUCCUGGUGUAGCGGUGAAAUGCGCAGAUAUCAGGAGGAACACCGGUGGCGAAGGCGGUUCUCUGGGCAUUACCUGACGCUGAGAAGCGAAAGCAUGGGGAGCGAACAGG